CCUACGGGGGGCAGCAGUGGGGAAUAUUGGACAAUGAGGGGAACCCUGAUCCAGCCAUGCCGCGUGUGUGAAGAAGGCCCUCGGGUUGUAAAGCACUUUCAGUGAGGAAGAACGCCUGGUGGUUAAUACCCAUCAGGAAAGACAUCACUCACAGAAGAAGCACCGGCUAACUCCGUGCCAGCAGCCGCGGUAAUACGGAGGGUGCGAGCGUUAAUCGGAAUUACUGGGCGUAAAGCGCGCGUAGGUGGCUUGAUAAGCCGGUUGUGAAAGCCCCGGGCUCAACCUGGGAACGGCAUCCGGAACUGUCAAGCUAGAGUGCAGGAGAGGAAGGUAGAAUUCCCGGUGUAGCGGUGAAAUGCGUAGAGAUCGGGAGGAAUACCAGUGGCGAAGGCGGCCUUCUGGACUGACACUGACACUGAGGUGCGAAAGCGUGGGUAGCAAACAGGAUUAGAUACCCCUGUAGUC
rnacentral:rRNA from 1 species